GUUGAUGAACUUGAUUAUGUCCUAAUUGAUGAGGGAAGAAACCCAUUGCUGAUAAGGGGUGAGGCUAGCAAGGAUGCUGCACGUAACACAGUUGCUGCUAAAGUAGCUGAGCUUCUCAUGCGUGGCCUCGUAUUUUACUUUUUUGCCCUUCUUUUUCCUUUUUGAUGUCUUGUUAUCCAUCUCCAUUGUAUGCGUAUCUCAUUGUUUGUUCCACUACACAUCAUGUAAAUUUAUAUAUUGUAACAAAUAGAAUUGUAAGACAUUAAAUUUUAUGAAAUGGAUUAUAUUUUUUGUA